rnacentral:rRNA from 1 species
GGUAACUGGGGGCGAGGGGCCGGGGGAGUGGGAUGGGGGGGAGCGUGGUUCGGAAUUACUGGGCGUAAAGGGCGGUCAGGCGGCCAACCAAGUCAGGCUUGAAAGCCCCGGGCUUAACCUGGGAAUUGCGCUGGGGACUGAUGGGCUUGAGUACGGGAGAGGAGAGUGGAAUUCCCAGUGUAGAGGUGAAAUUCGUAGAUAUUGGGAAGAACACCGGUGGCGAAGGCGGCUCUCUGGACCGUAACUGACGCUGAGGCGCGAAAGCGUGGGGAGCAAACAGGAUUAGAUACCCUGGUAGUC